rnacentral:rRNA from 1 species
CAGCAGCCGCGGGAAUACGAAGGGUGCAAGCGUUAAUCGGAAUUACUGGGCGUAAAGCGUGCGUAGGCGGUUUGUUAAGUCUGUUGUGAAAUCCCCGGGCUCAACCUGGGAAUGGCAAUGGAUACUGGCAAGCUAGAGUGUGUCAGAGGAUGGUGGAAUUCCCGGUGUAGCGGUGAAAUGCGUAGAGAUCGGGAGGAACAUCAGUGGCGAAGGCGGCCAUCUGGGCCAAUACUGACGCUCAUGCACGAAAGCGUGGGGAGCAAACAGGAUUAGAUACCCCCGUAGUCCCUGUCUCUUAUAC